rnacentral:rRNA from 1 species
UCGGGAAUUUUGGGCAAUGGGCGAAAGCCUGACCCAGCAACGCCGCGUGAAGGAUGAAGUCUCUCGGGAUGUAAACUUCGUAAGAAUAGGAAGAAUAAAUGACGGUACUAUUUGUAAGGUCCGGCUAACUACGUGCCAGCAGCCGCGGUAAUACGUAGGGACCAAGCGUUGUUCGGAUUUACUGGGCGUAAAGGGCGCGUAGGCGGCGUGGUAAGUCGCUUGUGAAAUCUCCGAGCUUAACUCGGAACGGUCAAGUGAUACUGCUGUGCUAGAGUACAGAAGGGGCAAUCGGAAUUCUUGGUGUAGCGGUGAAAUGCGUAGAUAUUAGGAAGAACACCGGUGGCGAAGGCGGCCCACUGGAUCGGUACUGACGCUGAGGUGCGAAAGCGUGGGGAGCAAACAGGAUUAGAUACCCCCGUAGUCCCUGAGCGGGCUGGCAAGGCGCAU